CACAAGGAAGGCUCGCGCCCAACAGUCCUCAGGUCGUUAUUUGGGUGCUGAAGGCACAAGGGUUCAGAUCUGGGUUGAAGACACCCUGCCCUAGGUACCAGCUGGAGAUGUUUUGUCACUUCCGGGACGCUGGAGGUGGAGAGAGUCACUUGAGGGAGUUUCUGCUGUUCUUGCUGAUGAUUUUGCUACUUUGCUUACAGGUGUAGAGAACCUGGCUCAGUGGACAACGGCUGCCCAGGACCCAUUUUGCUGUUUUCGGAAUUCUUUUCUGAAAGGUGAGCAGGCUGCCCAGUACACAACCUCACGGCUGGGGGAAACUGGCUCUCACCUGUAUCUGGAAGUGUGGGGAUGCUGACUGCACAGGCUCAUAGAUGCAAUGAGGACCACCUGUACAUAAGGCUUCCUAAGUCAGCUGACUCUGAUCCCAUCAUUACAAUGAGUUACCAUGACUGCUUCAAACAUGAGAUCCACCAUCUCUCUGGGUCUUCGGCUGCCUGUCCUCAGUCUUGCCCAUGGGACCUGUGUGGUUUAUCCUAUGAGAAGAGAAGACUCUGCCCUCUGGUGUGGUACUGUCCUGCUGUCACAUUAUCUCACCCCUCUUGCCCUCCCUCCCCCACUCCCCCAGCUCCCCGGGUGUAACAACCCAUCAGACAGCUGCACGUCCAAGUGGGGAUGAACCUCGCAGAUGUUAAAUCAAGGAAGUUGCAUACCUAACCACUGCAUUUGAAGAUGGUGAGACCCAAGCAGUGCUGAAGUACAUCAUGGCAGGAGGCACAUUUAGGGGGUGAACGCUAAAGACAGUGAGGAAAGGAUGGUGGGAGCAAGAGAGGAUCAGUCUCAGAGGAAGGAAGUGGGAAAGGUGGACCAGGCUCCUGGCAGGGUCCUGUUUUCUUCUCUAAGUGGUGUAUGCACAUGGUUGCUCAGCGAGUCAUAAACUACAUUGUUAGUCUGUAUACACUCACAAGUAAGCUAUAGUUAACUAAAGUCAAUUCAAAGGAAAAAAAACAAAAAACAAAAAGCGAGGAAAGGAACAACUCAAAACCAUGAUCAAACCUCUUCACAGUUGUCAACAUGUCAGCAUGGUUAGCCCAUCUCUGCCCACACCAGCCUCAUCGCUCUCCCGACCCCUAGACCUAGCCUCAGAAUGACAGUCGGGACAGAAUCCAGCAUAACCAUAACUCUCAUCCAAUGCCUUUUUUUUUUUUUUUUUUUACUUGAGGGAGGGUCUUCCUGUGUAGCACAGGUUGGUAACAAAGUCACCAUCCAGGAAAAUCACCCUCCAGAUCUAGGAUUCCAGGAGCGCACCAGUGCACCCAGCAACCUAUAUGACUUCUUUAAACCUUGCAGUCUCUGCCCACCAUGGCCUAAACUCAUGAAGCCAGAAUUCUCAAUGAGCCCU
rnacentral:lncRNA from 1 species